AGUGAACGCUGGCGGCAGGCCUAACACAUGCAAGUCGAACGGCAGCACAGGAGAGCUUGCUCUCUGGGUGGCGAGUGGCGGACGGGUGAGGAAUACAUCGGAAUCUACCUUUUCGUGGGGGAUAACGUAGGGAAACUUACGCUAAUACCGCAUACGACCUUAGGGUGAAAGCGGAGGACCUUCGGGCUUCGCGCGGAUAGAUGAGCCGAUGUCGGAUUAGCUAGUUGGCGGGGUAAAGGCCCACCAAGGCAACGAUCCGUAGCUGGUCUGAGGGGAUGAUCAGCCACAUUGGAACGGAGACAGGGUCCAGACUCCUACGGGAGGCAGCAGUGGGGAAUAUUGGACAAUGGGCGCAAGCCUGAUCCAGCCAUGCCGCGUGGGUGAAGAAGGCCUUCGGGUUGUAAAGCCCUUUUGUUGGGAAAGAAAAGCAGUCGGUUAAUACCCGAUUGUUCUGACGGUACCCGAAGAAUAAGCACCGGCUAACUUCGUGCCAGCAGCCGCCGUAA
rnacentral:rRNA from 1 species